GCAGGGGUGGAUCUAAGUGGUAGAGCACUUGCCUAGCAUGGAAGAAACCCUGGGCUCAAUCCCCAGCACUGCA
rnacentral:tRNA from 1 species